rnacentral:rRNA from 1 species
ACGGAGGGUGCUAGCGUUGUCCGGAAUUAUUGGGCGUAAAGGGUGCGUAGGCGGCUGAAUAAGUCAGAUGUGAAAGACCUGUGCUCAACUUGGGUGGUGCAUUUAAAACUGUUCGGCUAGAGUAUAGGAGAGGGAAGUGGAAUUCCUGGUGUAGCGGUGAAAUGCGUAGAUAUGAGGAGGAACACCAGUGGCGAAGGCGGCUUUCUGGACUAAUACUGACGCUGAGGCACGAAAGCGUGGGGAGCAAACAG